rnacentral:rRNA from 1 species
GGAUAUUGCGCAAUGGGCGAAAGCCUGACGCAGCGACGCCGCGUGGGUGAUGAAGGCCUUCGGGUCGUAAAGCCCUGUCGAGGGGGACGAAUACGCCCGGCCCUAAUACGGUCGGGCCCUGACGGUACCCCUAAAGGAAGCCCCGGCUAACUCCGUGCCCGCGGCCGCGGUAAUACGGAGGGUGCAAGCGUUGUUCGGAAUCACUGGGCGUAAAGGGCGUGUAGGCGGUCCGCUAAGUCUGAUGUGAAAGCCCGAGGCUUACCCUCGGAAGUGCAUUGGAGACUGGCGGACUAGAGUCCCGGAGAGGAGGGUGGAAUUCCUGGUGUAGCGGUGAAAUGCGUAGAUAUCAGGAGGAACACCGGUGGCGAAGGCGGCCCUCUGGACGGUGACUGACGCUGAGACGCGAAAGCGUGGGGAGCAAACAGG